rnacentral:rRNA from 1 species
UACGUAGGGAGCGAGCGUUGUCCGGAAUUACUGGGUGUAAAGGGUGCGUAGGCGGCCUUGCAAGUCAGGCGUGAAAACCAUGGGCUCAACCCGUGGACUGCGUUUGAAACUGUGAGGCUUGAGUGAAGUAGAGGUAGGCGGAAUUCCCGGUGUAGCGGUGAAAUGCGUAGGGAUCGGGAGGAACACCAGUGGCGAAGGCGGCCUACUGGGCUUUAACUGACGCUGAGGCACGAAAGCAUGGGUAGCAAACAGG